rnacentral:rRNA from 1 species
CCUACGGGAGGCAGCAGUGAGGAAUAUUGGUCAAUGGUCGGGAGACUGAACCAGCCAAGCCGCGUGAGGGAGGAAGGUACAGAGUAUCGUAAACCUCUUUUGUCAGGGAACAAAGACUGGGACGCGUCCCCGGAUGAGUGUACCUGAAGAAAAAGCAUCGGCUAACUCCGUGCCAGCAGCCGCGGUAAUACGGAGGAUGCGAGCGUUAUCCGGAUUUAUUGGGUUUAAAGGGGGCGCAGGCGGUCUGUUAAGUCAGCGGUCAAAGCCCGGGGGUCAACCCCGGCCCGCCGUUGAAACUGGCAGUCUCGAGUUGGAGAGAAGUAUGCGGAAUGCGCGGUGUAGCGGUGAAAGGCAUAGAUAUCGCGCAGAACUCCGAUUGCGAAGGCAGCAUGCCGGCUCCACACUGACGCUGAGGCACGAAAGCGUGGGUAUCGAACAGGAUUAGAUACCCGAGUAGUC